GACGAACGCUGGCGGCGUGCUUAACACAUGCAAGUCGAACGGAGUGGCGAACGGGUGAGUAACACGUGGGUGAUCUGCCUUGCACUCGGGGAUAAGCUUGGGAAACUGGGUCUAAUACCGGAUAGUGCAAGGUGAGCUCGCGGCCUUUCAGCUUGUUGGUGUGGUAAUGGCCUACCACGGCGUCGACGGGUAGCCGGCCUGAGAGGGUGUACGGCCACAUUGGGACUGAGAGACGGCACAGCCUCCUACGGGAGGCAGCAGUGGGGAAUAUUGCACAAUGGGCGGAAGCCUGAUGCAGCGAGGCCGCGUGGGUGAUGGCGGCCUUCGGGUUGUAAACUCCUUUCGACAGGGACGCGGUACCUGUAUAAGAAGCACCGGCUAACUACGUGCCAGCAGCCGCGGUAAUUC
rnacentral:rRNA from 1 species